UAAUUUAAUCUCUAAUUUAAUCGCUGGUCUCUUGGCCUCCUAUUGGAGCUCGCUUGGUUGGCCGGUAGAUUGCUUUGAUUUAGGGCCUCAUCUGAUUAUACCUUCUAGGAUGAUUCAACAAAUGGGGCCACGAACUUUAGCACGCUAAAUGACGCUAAACAGCUUAGCGUGUUGCCCCUCCAAAUGCUAUAGUGUGAUUAUAGCGCCGAGGCAGCGUGCUAUUUAAAACUAUGGUUCAUAUGGCAUUUACUCCUGCAUGUAACCUUCAGUUUUAGUUCGCUACUUGAAGGUGAUGAGUUAGUCCCUCUGGUUUAAAAUUAUUUUAAAAUUCAGGUAUGUUGAGUUAGAUGUGUACUUCUGAACUCAACUUUAGUAAAUUCUAGAUGGGGGCCGAGGUGGAGAAUAUUUUGUUGGGUGCAAGAAUCCUUCAACUUCGUGGCUGUGCCGGUGUCCUGUACUACAUAGGAUGAGCGAUGGCGUUUUCCGCCUGGACGGUGUUCGUGUAGCAGCUCCUGUGUGAGCUUUCCUCGUUUAUCUUUUUCUACUGGUAGCUGUACUUCAAACUGGUGGAUAGUUAUUUUGGUGGUGAGCUUGAUGUUUGUAGCUGGUAUCCCCAGCAGAUUAUUGUGCCUUCGAUAUAAAGCAGGGCCGUUCGGCCUGUUCUCUAAAAGACUUCAGUAAAUUUUGUACGGUACAACCAUGUUUUCCCACCUUUGGCAUCACAGCACUAGGCAAUCGCUGACAGCCGACAUUUUCGUGAUAGAUCAUGAUUUCCUUGUCUGCCACUUAAUCUGUGUAAAUUUCCUGGUCAUGAGGAUUAGGUGAGUGCAGCUGCCCAAUCAAACUAUCCCUGUCUGUGACAUGAUUGCAUACAAAAUAAUAAUUUCCUAUCCUGCUUUUAUCAUUGUAGCAUUCGGCUUCCCCUUUGCCAGCCUUUCCAGGCGACCCUCCUAUGGUUGUUAGCAAAUUCCAAGCCCACCAUGCUGCUGCCCCUGGCCCACACCUGUAUCCUCUUGUGCCACACCAUGCCACCACUGUGCAUCUCAUGGUGCUGCACCAGUCCUCCAAUGAGCACAGUGGGAUCAAUAGACUCGCGUAAGUAUGUGUUAAAGAGUUAUUUUGUCAUGUUUCCUUAGGCUGCAGUUGUAACAGUUUGUUCAUAUAAAAAAUUUCAGACAGAAAGGUUCAUAUAAACCUGUAACAAUUAAACUUGAUAAAGCUAAUCAUGCUCCUUAUAACAUACAUACAUUUGGUAAUCUGGAUUGCCGCCGGGUUGUGUUUCUGUCAAACUUGCAUAAAGGUUGGUGCCAUCAGCUUUGUUAUUGGCAUCACGGUGGGUUUUACCCUGAAGAAAUGGCUGCGCUGAUCGAUGGGCUGCUAGGCUGCUCAAGAGAAUCAAGGAUGAUAACUAUCUAGUGCAAACUCAAGUUUUGCUCACAAGUGUGCUCUAGUUACUCUUUGGCCUUGAACCUCUUUGACUGCUUGGAUUAACUGGAUCAGUACAAGCCAGUGUUUCGUAAAUCUCUUUUUAGGGGAUUUGCACUAGCGAUUGUGGUAUGUGCAGAUCCUCUCUUGCUGAUCGUGAAUCUAUGGUGAUGUUGUGUGGUCCCCUCCCUUAGCACCGGCAGGCGGCAGAUGGUGUCCACUUUGUGGCUCUUUCUUUGCUCCAGUAAAGGCAUCGUUAGUGGGUUCAAUCAAGAAAGAAAAAGUAAACCACCUUGAGUCCUUGAGUCGUUUGUCCAAAUAAACAAAGAUGAGCAUCAGACUUGUUCAUCUCUUUUCUCUUCCAGACAUCACAAAAGCUCACCAACCACCAAGUUUUUGCUUCAAACCUAAGAAAAUAAAUUCCCACGCCACAGAGUUCCACAGCCCGGCUUCUUCGAACAGGUUUCACCCAUGCUAGCUGUGGGAAAUCAAGAAAUCUCAAGAUUUUGUUCGUUCCAUUCUUCUCACCAGAGCAAGUUUCAUCUUGGUCGCUUUUGUUUGUUGUUCCUUUUCUGUUGCCACUGAUUGAAAUGAUACUGUGGCGUUACGUGCCUAUAUUCAGCAGGCUAGCAGCAGCAUUCUUUCCUCUUGAUGAUUGUAUGGUAAUUUUCUAUUAUCUAUUCUGAUUCAAGAAGCGUGCGCCCCGUUUUGUGAGAUCUUAAAAGUAGCGAUGGGCUGUCCAUCGACCACAGCAAACCUCUUCAAGAUGAUCACCAUUGAUCCUUAUUGUUGACCUUUUUUCUGCCUCAUUAGAAGACCGCUUUCUAAGCAUCCAAUCUUCGCCGUUCUCCGAAAUAAUUCACCUGGUAUUUUUGGUGGAUCUCUGGCCCUGAAUUUAUCUUUUCUAUGGCGACCGUACUAGAAUCUUUGCUUGGAUCAUGUGCCAAUAAGUUGAAAGAUAUCAUUACUAAUGAGGCCAUACUAAUCCUUGGGGUGGAAGAAGAGCUCGCAGAAGUGCUCCGACAAGUAGAGCUAAUACAGUGUUGCAUAUAUGAUUCUGAAAAGAGGAGGACAAAAGAGCUAGCAGUGAACAAUUGGCUUGGUCAACUGAGAGAUGUUAUGUAUGCUGUUGACGAAAUCAUGGACGUGGCUAGAUGUAAAGGAAUCAAGCUACUGUAUGGCCAUCCUUCAUCAUCAUCAAGCAAAUCAGCUGCAUGUAAAGGCAUUCAAGUUUCCUCUUGCUUUUGUAACAUCGGGUCACGUCAUGAUGUAGCUGUUCGGAUUAGAAGCCUCAACAAAAAGAUAGAGAAUAUUUCAAAGGACAAGAUAUUUUUAACAUUCAACAAUAGUACACAACCUACUCAAAAUGGUCCAACAUCCAAACUGAUAAGAGGUUCCAAUCUUGUUGAGCCCAACCUUGUUGGAAAGGAGAUCAUGCAUUCUAGCAGGAAGUUGGUGGACUUAGUUCAUUCACACAAGGAAAAUAAGUCUUACAAGAUUGCUAUUGUUGGAACUGGAGGAGUUGGUAAGACAACUCUAGCUCAGAAAAUAUACAAUGACCAAAAAAUAAAAGGAAGCUUCAAGCUACAUGCAUGGAUUUGUGUUACACGAGACUACAAUGAAGCUACUCUUCUUAAAGAGGUUCUCCGUAAUAUUGGUGUGCAUCAUGAGCAAGGUGAAACAAUAGCGGAGCUGCAUAGAAAACUUGCAGAAACAGUUGAAGGGAAGAGUUUCUUUCUGGUUCUAGAUGAUGUGUGGCAAUCCAAUGUAUGGACGGAUUUAUUAAGACCUCCAUUACAUAAGACCACUGCUGGAGUAAUAUUAGUAACCACACGAGAUGAUCAAAUUGCAAUGAGAAUAGGUGUGGAGUAUACCCAUCGAGUUGAUCUCAUGUCAGUAGAGGCGGGAUGGGAACUACUUUGGAAGAGCAUAAGCAUUGAAAAAGAAAAAGAAGUGCAGAAUUUGCAGAAAACAGGAAUUGAGAUUGUUCGUAAAUGUGGUCACCUCCCCCUGGCAAUCAAGGUUAGCGCUCGUGCUUUGGCAAGUAGAGAUAUAACAGAGAAUGAGUGGAGAAAGUUUUUGGGAAAACAUGUUGGCUCCCAGAGCAUGCUCUCGGAUGAAAUACAAGGAGUUCUGUAUCUCAGCUAUGAUGAAUUAGAACAUCGUCUUAAGCAAUGUUUCCUUUACUGUGCUUUGUAUACUGAAGAUUCUAUCAUUGACCGUGAUGUAGUUACCAAGUUAUGGAUUGCUGAAGGCUUUGUCGAGGAGCAACAGGGCCAACUACUAGAAGACAUAGCUGAAGAGUACUACUACGAGCUAAUCCAUCGAAAUCUCCUCCAACCAGAUGGAACAUAUUUUGAUAUGACUUAUUGCAAAAUGCAUGACCUCUUAAGACAGCUUGCCUUAAAUAUAUCAAAAGAAGAAUGCUUUAUUGGAGAUAUUGAAACAUUAAGGGGUGAUAAUAUGUCAAAACUUCGACGUGUUACCGUUGUGACUAAGAAGGACAAACUGGUAUUACCUAGCAUGGAUAAGAUAGAAAUUAAGGUGAGGACUUUGAUAACGGUUCCUGGUCCAAGGAGCAUUGAGGAUACAUUGUUCAAGAGAUUUCUGCUUCUUCGUGUUUUGGUACUGAAUUACUCAAUUGUACAAAGCAUUCCAGAUUAUAUUGGAAAAUUGAUACAUCUACGCCUACUUGAUCUAGAUUAUACUGGUAUAUCAUGUGUUCCGGAAUCCAUUGGAUCUCUAAAGAACCUUCAAGUAUUGAGCUUGGAAUGCUGUGGUGCUCUACACAGUCUUCCUCUGGCAAUGACCCAGUUGUGCAAUUUAAGAUGUCUUGAUCUUUCUGGUACAGAAAUAAAUCAGGUUCCAAAAGGGAUAGGGAAACUGAAGUUCCUCACUGAAUUGCGAGGAUUUCCUGUUGGUGAUGGAAGUGACAAUGCUGAUGUACAAGAUGAAUGGAAGUUGGAAGAGUUAUCUUCUUUGUCACAAAUGAGGUAUCUUUUUCUUGUUAAAUUGGAAAGGGUGGCUCAUUGUAGUGCAAAUACACUGCUAGCGGACAAAAAACAUCUAAAAGACCUAAAACUAGAGUGGACAAAAUCUAGAUGGGGAUCAUAUUCAGAAGAAGAUGUUAGGCAUAUUGAGGUGGUCUUUGAGCAUCUAGUACCUCCAAGCAACCUGGAAAACCUAUAUAUUUUGGGAUUCUUUGGUCGGCGGUAUGCCACCUGGUUUGGUACCACCUGUUUGUCUUCAUUAAUACACUUGAUCCUCAAAGAUGUACGAUCAUGUGUGCAUCUUCCACCUAUUGGGAAGCUACCCAACUUGAAAUAUCUGAGAAUUGAGGGUGCAGAUGCAGUUACCAAGGUUGGACCUGGAUUUGUUGGCUGCAGGAAUGGUGAUCCCCUGUGCAAUGAGUUAGUUGCUUUUCCUAAACUUGAAUGGUUGGUCCUCAAGCAUAUGCCCAACUGGGAGGAGUGGUCUUUUUUUGAAGAAAAGGGAAAAGCAGAAGUUUCUGAGGAUGAAGCUGAGAUUCGAAAAGAAGAUGCCCAAUCUGCAAGGUUGCAAGUGCUGCCUCGUUUGGUGCUGUUGAAACUUGAAGGUUGCCCAAAGUUGCGGGCUAUUCCACAGCAGCUUGGAGAGGACAGUGCCAGCUUGAAGUACCUCGAAUUAAUUGGACUACACAACUUGAAUGAUGUGGAGGACCUCCCAAUGCUCUCCGAGCUUCUCCUAAUUGAGAAAUGUGAAGGCCUGAAGAGGGUAUCCAACCUCCCUCAAGUGACAGACCUGCGUGUGCUUGGUUGUCUGAACUUAAGCCAUGUAGAGGGAUUGGGCAGUUUGCAGAAGCUGGGACUAGGCGAGGAUGUGCAAGAGAGCUCUUCACGCUGGGUGGUUGGUCUUCAAAACCAGCACCAACAACUUCAUGGUGAAGACCUGGAUGUCUACACGUUGGCUACCAGUUAGAUGGCAACACUUGCACGAGAAUGGGGGGCAUCCUAGGACUGAUGGGAUGCAGUUCACUUCAACGGGCAUAGGUAGCGUGAAACAUACCAAGUUGAAGAGGGCUUGUGAUGCUGAAGAUUUGCAAGUCAUUGAUGUGUAGAGAGCUAGUCUUUUUCUUCGGGCAGGUGCCGCUCUGGAAUUUGGUCUUGCUACUUUCUGAACUUUGGUCCUUUGCUGCACUGAAACCUGUCUGGUAGGGUUUGGUUCUUUGAGUGUAACACCGAAUCUCUUUUGGUUCCUGCAAGUCUGCAACUGUGUGCUGUCUGUUGCCCUAUAUAAACUUAGCACUGAAGAAGUCAGUUCAGUAAAAAGGCAGUUACUAAUCCCUGAUUCAGACAGACAAAUGUCGUUCACCAGAUUGACAGCAAAUUACAGACCGUAACCUCAUUUGGCAUCUACUCUCUAGUCUACUUCUCUAGAUUUAGGCUGCAACCGUAACAUUUUUGUUGAUGUAAACAUUCGGGUGGUGUCUCUGUGGACAUGCACGAAGGUUGGUGCCAUCAGCUUUGUGUUUGGCGUCGUGGUUGGCUUCACCCUGAAUAGAAGGCUGCGCCGGUGGGCUGCCAAGCUGCUCAAGAGAAUUAAGGACGAUGAGUAGCUAGCUAGUGCAGUUAAUCUUCAAAUUUUGCUGGCAAGUGUGCUCUAGUUACUCUGUAGUAGCCCCGAGUUGAGCCUCAUUGGCUGCUUGGAUCAAACUGUGAUGGAUACAACAUAGUCGUUUGUAACCUGUAUCGCAAAAUUCUCUUUUGGGGGAUCUUUAUUACUGGCGAUUGUGGCAUGUGCA